rnacentral:rRNA from 1 species
GAUGAACGCUGGCGGCGUGCCUAAUACAUGCAAGUCGAGCGAACAGACGAGGAGCUUGCUCCUUUGACGUUAGCGGCGGACGGGUGAGUAACACGUGGGUAACCUACCUAUAAGACUGGGAUAACUUCGGGAAACCGGAGCUAAUACCGGAUAAUAUUUCGAACCGCAUGGUUCGAUAGUGAAAGAUGGCUCUGCUAUCACUUAUAGAUGGACCUGCGCCGUAUUAGCUAGUUGGUAAGGUAACGGCUUACCAAGGCAACGAUACGUAGCCGACCUGAGAGGGUGAUCGGCCACACUGGAACUGAGACACGGUCCAGACUCCUACGGGAGGCAGCAGUAGGGAAUCUUCCGCAAUGGGCGAAAGCCUGACGGAGCAACGCCGCGUGAGUGAUGAAGGUCUUCGGAUCGUAAAACUCUGUUAUUAGGGAAGAACAAACGUGUAAGUAACUGUGCACGUCUUGACAGUACCUAAUCAGAAAGCCACGGCUAACUACGUG